AGAGGGAGGCAGGGAGAGAGAGAGGGAGGCAGGGAGAGAGAGAGGGAGGCAGGGAGAGAGAGAGAGGCAAGGAGAGAGAGAGCGACGAGGAGAGAGGACGCGUGCCUCGGAUUGCGCUCGGGGUCUGCAGCGAUAUCAUCACCAUCAACAUCACCAACCAACAUCACCGCCACCACCAUCACCACCACCACUGCCAUCAACGCGACGCGUCCGCUGGGUUUUUAUAUCUGGUCGUGAGCGGGAGUUGCCCGCCUUCCCCUCCGCCCGUCCAUGGCGCAGCUUCCGCAGCUGGAAGCGGAGAGGGAGGCACUCGGGUCCGGCUUCGUGCACGCUGCGCGACUCCUCCAGCGAGCAGAGAUCGACAGGGUUCAGAACGGCGCUGCGGCUGCCGUGGCCGCUGCUGUGACCACCACCGCCACCACCGCCACCACCGCCAUGCCGCCGGUGACGGCGGCACCGACGGGGGACGAAGAUCGACGCUACCGGGACGUCGUCAGCAACCAGAACAUGAAGCUUUGCGAGAAGGUGCUCAUCCCGGUCAAGCAGCACCCCAAGUUCAAUUUCGUGGGGAAGCUGCUGGGACCCCAGGGGAACUCCCUCAAGAGGCUGCAGGCUGAGACCGGCACCAAGAUGUCUAUCCUGGGGAAGGGCUGCAUGAGGGACAAGGCCAAGGAGGAGGAGUUGAGGAGGGGCGGCGAAGCGAAGUACGCUCCCCUGCAGGAACGUCUGCACGUCCUCAUCGAGGUGUUCGCCCCCCCCGGGGACGCGUACGCGCGCAUGGGCCACGCGCUGCAGGAGGUGAAGAAGUUCCUCGUGCCGGACUACAACGACGAGAUCCGCUUGGAGCAGCUGCGGGAGCUGACGUUCCUCAACGGCUCGGCCGAAUCCCCGGCCAUGCCGCCGAGGGCUCGGGGAGGCGCCGCACCCAAGGGGGGCUGCGCCCCCCCUCCCGCCCGGGGGGUCCACCCGGUGCCACCCGCCCUCCCGCCCGCGGCCAGGGGUCUCGGCAAUGCCCCUCGCCUGCGGGCUGCCCUGGUGCCCAGGGGGGCGGCGCUACCUGGGAGGGGGGCAGUGCCGCCCCCUCGCCCUGGCAUUGCCCGGCCUCCCCACCACGGCCGCCCUGCGCCCCGCGUGCCGCCACCCCCGCCGCUGCCGCCCAGAGCUGCCGCAGCACACGUGCCGGACCCCUACGCGGAAUACGCAUACAGCGAUGGCUACGACGCUUCCUACGAGGACUCGGCGUUCGACGGAUACGAGAGCGACUACGCAAGCGGGAGCCAGAGCGCCCUGGACUACUACGAGUACGACACGUGCACCAGGGAGGAGGCCUACCACACUUACGACGAGGAAGACUGGAGCGAGACGGGCAACCGCAUGAAGGCCCAGGCCGUGCGGACGCCUAAGGGGGCCUACCGGGAGCACCCCUACAGCCGCUACUGAUGAUGGCACGGCGUGCCUCGCCGCCGCCGCCGCCGCUGACCGCAGCGCUAAAUCGCAAAAACGUGACCCGCGGGCCGCCGCCAACCCCAGGGGCACGCGCUCGCCCUGUCAGCCGCUCGACUGCCACAGGGAACCCUGUAUACGAAAGCCAAAGACGAGACAGUGGAGAAACAAGGACGGGCUGUGGAGCCGAGUGGACGCGCACGCUCCGGAGGUAUGGAGGGCAGAGUUGAAUGAGAGCACAACAUGUGGCCGGCACCAAUCGCCGUUGGUGCCCUCCCUUCACUUGGUCUAUCGUCUGUACAAAAACGCAUCAUCUCGAUCGGCUCGAGCCUCGCAUAAAUCACGUGAAUUGGGUGUCGCCACCCCCAUUCUGAAUCCCUCCCCUCUCCCCAUCCCCCCGUGAAAACAGACGCUUCCCCGUGCAGCUCACCUCUGCUCGCUGCUUGUUUGUUGAACUUCUUUUGCACCGUACGUAGCCAACCGUGCUAAUCGGAGGUGCGGGGGAAGGACCACAAACUAAACACAAAAAAAGUAUUCCUCAAUAAAUUAUUUUUCAAUCGAGAUUUAAAAGUAUAUAGCUCCAGUGGCUUCCUAAUAUUGGAAGGAACAGCAUUCCUUGUAUCUCCCUCUCAUCAUCACCGCCCUUUCAUAUCCGACAUCACGGAUGUCUGGGCGAAGAGAGUUCCAGACUGGGGACAGAUAAGGAGAAAAAGCAACUUCCUUUUUACGGAAUGUUAACUAGGGGCUUAGAGAGAAGGCCUUAGUUCCACCCGUAUCUCAUUCUCUUGUCACAUCCACACCAUCUCCCGUAUCCCCUUCCAGCGUGCGUUCUCUUUCCCCUAUCACCCCCGGUCACCCCCCCCCCCCCCCCCACUCUGCCCUCUGCGGUGCUCCUCGAUGCGUUCUCGCGUUGCUCUCCGCUGCGACGUUUCGACUGGUGACCGAUAGGCAAAACGUACGUACGUGCACACGGAUGUUGAACUUCUUUCGCACCCGUACAUAAGCCAACCGUGCCAAUCAGCGGCAUGGGUCACUCUGCGCGCGCGCGCUUCAAACGCCGUAACCUCUGCGUCGGUGCUUCAAACGCCGUAACCUCUGCGUCGGUGCUUCAAACGCCGUAACCUCUGCGUCGGUGCUUCAAACGCCGUAACCUCUGCGUCUGCGUCGGUGACGACGGCGCGCGGAGAGGGCUCACUGCACCGCGCACCCGAUCCGGUGUUGUUUUUAACAAACCCAGCUGUGCUGCAGCUUCAAGUCAAUUAACUUCGCCCGAUGCUGCUUGCAAUCAUUAGCGCCCGUGUUGCAGCUGUUUUGCCAAUGUUGGAGAGCGCCGUGUGAAUUCUCUGGGGACGAUGUAAACGUUGUAAACAGGCGAGCGAGCGAGCGAGCGAAAGCGCGUUCGCGUGCCGGUGGGCGCGCGUGAACACGCGGGGUGUAUGUGCGCGCGCGUGAACACGCGGGGUGUUCGUGCGCGCGCGUGAACACCCCGCGAGUUGCCAUUGCUCCGCUCGCGAAUUCUCACCGUGGCGACGCCGCUGGCGCCGCUGGCGAAUCCAACAAUUGCAACGUCCAAUUCGGUCUUAGUAAAAAAAAAAAAGCAGCACUUUUUUUCUGAAUAAUAUGACCGUGGCCUUGAGCCAGGAUCUGCGCCAUCGACUGCCUAAUCAUUGGUGGAGCUCCAAAGCGGCGGAGUCCGCUCUCAAUGACAACAAUGCACGUCUUCAGGAACUGCUGAUGGAUUUUCCUUCGGCACAGAGGCGGCGUGCUGUUAACACGUUCUUGCGCGUAAUUCGUGUCUCUGUUUGCAGAGCAGCGCUCGCCCGUGAGCCUGCGGGAAUAUGCCCGAGAAACUUUCGACUUUUUUUACGGGGUGCAUCCAUCUGUAGCCAUCUCCACAUUCGUCUUCCCUCUCCGUACCCCACCCCUGCCCCUUCCCUCGCCCAACCCCCUCCACCUAAUUUACAUUACCUCUAAUUAUCACGGUUGGCUACGUACGUUGCGAAGUUCAACAUACAUACAUAGCACUGAACUCUACCAGCCCGAUACCGUGUUACUCAUUCGUCCUCACUGUUUUUUUACGAAACUACGAUUUCAUGGAGAUCUCAUCCGAAAACUCUGCAAAUUGUUUAUAAAAGGUCGCCAUGUGCAGCGCCUGGACCGAGAUGAGGCGGUAUAGAGACCAAGAAGACGAUGGGCAGGUGACGUAACAGAAUGGACGGAGUGCAGGUUAACAUUUUCCCAUUCCGAUGACGUACAUGGACAUCAUGAAAACUAAACUGGAAUAAAUGGGUUUUUUUUUAAGAAAAAUCACUUUAUCGGUCCCCUGGGUCCCACAAGGCCAUGCGGGAGGGCGUGUGGCACAGUUUUGGGCGCCAGCUAUCAUAGAGUGCGGUCGUGUCGCUACAGUUCUCUGCGGUGAGCACAAUGCCUUUGAAAACGACGGCGCUACUCCGCCUCUCUAAAUAACAUUAACGCUGAGCCACUUGCGCCUUCCGAGAGUCAGAGGUAAACGCCCCCCCCCCCCCCCCCCCUGCAACUUGUAGACGUCUCAGAACGGGAAAGGGGUUAAUAACACGGCGAGGCUGGCAGCGGACAGAGAGAGGUCGAGCGAGGCCCGACAUACCACCGACCCUCUGAGAGAGGACAGCACUACCCAGUGAACAUGGAGCGUUGGACCAAUGAUGGUCCAACCACACGCCAACGUUGAGCGAAAGUCGCAUGGUUACUGGGUGCCUCGUGUGCACGUGGAACAUUGGGCCAAUGUUGAGCCAACGUUAGUUCAAUGACAUGCCAACGAUGGCCCAACAUUCCGCGUUCACUUGGUACCCAGUAAACACGCAACAUUGGGCCAAAGUUGCGCCAACCGUGUUCCAACGUUGGCCCAACUGUGCAACGAUGAUAGUCUUUGAUUGGCAUGUCACGUGAAGUGGACCAAAGUGUGGGCAUUUUCCACCUCUUCCAAGACAUUUGGCCAGCGUAGAAGAAUUGGCCAAAUACUCUCUCUCUCGAGCUCUGUCUAGUGGAGGUUCUUCCGCCAGCGGUAGCGAGAGCUCGUAAAUUGUAGGGCUGCGCCUUUGCCACCUUAAAGGUGUGGCAGUGCUGGUCGAGUGUGAGAGCCAGAGUCUGGGAUCCUUUGUGACAGGAUCAGCCAGGCUCGGCUCAUGCGGACUCAUUAAAAGCACCGCGCCAACACCAGUUCCACUGCUCAUUGAUAUAUGAAGCGGCAGCUGUAACCUGGGGUGCAGCCAGGAAAUACAACUCUUAUGACCUAGGUUAUUGCGAGUGUGCAGUGUGUGUAUACACUUAUGAACGGCUCCGGUUUGGCAGUGUAGGUCUGACUUCGAAUCAGUUGAGCGGCAUUAUCUUUUCAUCAUCUGCGAAACACUGUGGAAGUUACCUGGUCUAUCUUUCCAUCCGAAGCUCAAGGUCUUCUCGGUCACAGUUGUGCCCUCCCUUCUCAAUCAUUGCGAAAUGUGGAACCCUUUAAAGGAACAUCUACGCCGGUUUAAAGAUGCAUCUGCCAGUCAUCUCAGUCAGUCAACCGAUGGCACCUGAGUUUGUUCCGUGGCCUCCUGCCAGCGAUCCUUUGACACAUUACGUGGCCUCAAGGUGCAUCUAGCCUGGCACAAUGGCGGUUGCUGUUGUUGGCUGUGGGUGCACCGUCCGUAUGAAUGUAUGUAUGAAUGUAUGUAUGAAUGUAUGUAUGAAUGUAUGUGCGUUUGCGAACGUGUGAAUGUGUCGGGCCCACCAAGGGUGCAAACUGUUGUGGGAGGCUUUUAAGAAAUAUUUGUUAAUAUCGUGCGGGUGUCUGGUGUCUGAACACCCACGGUGCAGCUGGCUGGAGCAGAACCCGGCCACCGAGGUGGGGGUGAGAGGGCGGGGGAAACGCCCCCCCCCCCCCGCUUCGCCCUCUCCUCCCCCGGUGUUGGGAGCCGACGUUGUGAAGCGCUAAUUACGACUUAUCCCCGAGUCGAGAGAGAGAGAUGUCGUGGUCGGAAGUGAGAAUGGUGCCGCGCGUCCCUCGUGCGGUAAUUGCAGAAUGUUGCCCUCACGCCCGUGCCAGUCUCUAACCUUCACCGUUCAAUUAACAUUCUUCCCGAACCAAUUUUAACGACCCGCUCAUCUUAUUCCUCGAGUAAAUUGCGUGGGCGCGGGCGCGGGGAGAUGAUAGAGGUGUGUGUGUGUAUGUAUAUGUGCGGGGAGCGGUAGUGUAGCGCUUUGCGCGCUGCGCUACGAACC